rnacentral:pre_miRNA from 1 species
CAAAUAUUCCCUCCCAUCCAUAUUAAUUGUCUCAAAUUUGUCCAAAUAUGAAUGUAUCUAUGGAUAAAAAGCGUCUAGAUACAUGUAAUAUUUCGACAAUUAAUAUGGAUCGGAGGGAGUAGACC